GCCAGUGUAGCUCAGGGGUAGAGCAGCUGUUUUGUAAACAGCCGGCCGUCGGUUCGAAUCCGGCCACUGGCU
rnacentral:tRNA from 1 species